rnacentral:rRNA from 1 species
CCCUACGGGACGCAGCAGUGGGGAAUAUUGCACAAUGGGGGAAACCCUGAUGCAGCGACGCCGCGUGAGUGAAGAAGUAUUUCCGUACGUAAAGCUCCAUCAGCAGGGAAGAAAAUGACGGUACCUGACUAAGAAGCCCCGGCUAACUACGUGCCAGCAGCCGCGGUAAUACGUAGGGGGCAAGCGUUAUCCGGAUUUACUGGGGGUAAAGGGAGCGUAGACGGCAGCGCAAGUCUGGAGUGAAAUGCCGGGGCCCAAUCCCGGAACUGCUUUGGAAACUGCGCAGCGCGAGUGCAGGAGAGGGA